UACGAAGGGGGCUAGCGUUGCUCGGAAUUACUGGGCGUAAAGGGCGCGUAGGCGGAUGUUUAAGUCGGGGGUGAAAGCCCGGGGCUCAACCUCGGAAUUGCCUUCGAUACUGGACAUCUUGAGUACGGGAGAGGUGAGUGGAACUCCGAGUGUAGAGGUGAAAUUCGUAGAUAUUCGGAAGAACACCAGUGGCGAAGGCGACUCACUGGCCCGUUACUGACGCUGAGCGCGAAAGCGUGGGGAGCAAACAGG
rnacentral:rRNA from 1 species